GACACUCAGUAUUUGCCCUCUCUUCAGUUCCUCUUGUCUGUUCUCCACAAGCAGGGACUCACUGAUAGACCACUCUGCUUCCAGUUCUGGGGCUGACACACUCUCCCACGUCCCCACACCCAGUGUAUCCUGUACAGAUCAAGGAAGAGUUCAGACGUAUCACGACAGUUUCCUUGGAGGAGACAUUCAUGCUAAAGCUUGAUGAGUACACACCAAGUCUUAUGCAGCUUCUGCGUGCUAAAGGAGGGGCUGCUGGUUCCAAGAUGCACCCUCUGUUGGACACUUUAAAUGACACACAGAGCAUUGAGGAAAAAAAGGGAUGCAGUUGUCUGCUGCCUCAUUAACUACCUUGGUGAAAGACAAGAAGAUCUUUUCCAUGACUGCCAG